rnacentral:rRNA from 1 species
AGCUCCAAUAGCGUAUAUUAAAGUUGUUGCAGUUAAAACGCUCGUAGUCGGAUUUCGGGGCGGGGCCGCCGGUCUGCCGAUGGGUAUGCACUGGCGGUCGCGUCCUUCCUUCCGGAGACUGGCCCUACUCUUAACUGAGCGGGGUCGGGAGACGGAUCGUUUACUUUGAAAAAAUCAGAGUGUUUCAAGCAGGCAGCUCGCUCUUGCAUGGAUUAGCAUGGGAUAAUGAAAUAGGACUUUGGUGCUAUUUUGUUGGUUUCGAACACCGAAGUAAUGAUUAACAGGGACAGUCAGGGGCACUCGUAUUCCGCCGAGAGAGGUGAAAUUCUCAGACCAGCGGAAGACGAACCACUGCGAAAGCAUUUGCCAGGGAUGUUUUCACUA